AACAGUUCUGCUUCUGUGAGCCAGGUGGAGAAGAGACGGUAGGACCAGAGAAGUAGUGUUGGAAGUGAGCAUUUCUAGGUGCAGACGAGGCAUUUGGGGCAUAGAAGAUCACACUCUUCUUCCGCCAUGUCUUAAGAUAUUACUUUAUAGUAAUUUAUCUUAGUCCAGGUGCAGUGCCUCACACCUGUAAUCCCAGCACUUUGGAAGGCUGAGCUGGGAGGAUUGCUUGAGGCUGGCAGUUCAAGACUUCUUCCAUUUUAAGGGGCCUUGUGAUUACAGCUGGUCCAUCUGGAUAUUCUAAGAUAUUCUCCCUAUUUUAAGGAGAGAAAUCUGAAAUCUGAGGUGCAGUUGAUUUGAAUCCAGGAAAUCUAAGGAAAAAGUUCAAGCUCUUAAUCAUUUCAUACCCUUCUUGUUGCUAACUUAAACUUUUUUUUUAAAAAAGUUAAUCUUGUCUAUGAAGCAUGAAUCUAUAAUACUAGGGAAAAAACUGGCUAACUUGAAGAAAAAAUAAAUUGAAAUGAAAAGCAAUUAAUUCCUCUUAAUAUGAAUAAAGGAUGAUCUAAAUGC
rnacentral:lncRNA from 10 species